rnacentral:rRNA from 1 species
GACGAACGCUGGCGGCGUGCUUAACACAUGCAAGUCGAACGGAAAGGCCCUGCUUGCAGGGUACUCGAGUGGCGAACGGGUGAGUAACACGUGGGUGAUCUGCCCUGCACUUCGGGAUAAGCCUGGGAAACUGGGUCUAAUACCGGAUAGGAGCCAUUUUUAGUGUGAUGGUUGGAAAGUUUUUUCGGUGUAGGAUGAGCUCGCGGCCUAUCAGCUUGUUGGUGGGGUAAUGGCCUACCAAGGCGGCGACGGGUAGCCGGCCUGAGAGGGUGGACGGCCACAUUGGGACUGAGAUACGGCCCAGACUCCUACGGGAGGCAGCAGUGGGGAAUAUUGCACAAUGGGCGCAAGCCUGAUGCAGCGACGCCGCGGGGGGGAAGACGGCCUUCGGGUUGAAAACGCCUUUCGCUAGGGACGAAGCGUUUUGUGACGGUACCUAGAGAAGAAGCACCGGCUAACUUCGUG